GAUGAAGAACGUAGCGAAAUGCGAUACGUAAUGUGAAUUGCAAAUUCAGUGAAUCAUCGAGUCUUUGAACGCACAUUGCGCCCCCUGGUAUUCCGGGGGGCAUGCCUGUCCGAGCGUCAUUGCAACCUUCAAGCGCGGCUUGUGUGUUGGGUCUCGUCCCCCGUGGACGGGCCCGAAAGGCAGUGGCGGCGUCCCGACAUGGUGCCCGAGCGUAUGGGAAUCCUCUUCCGCUCGAAUCGGCCCAUGCGGCGCUGGUCGUAACCAAAUUUUUUACCGGUUGACCUCGGAUCAGGUAGGGAUACCCGCUGAACUUAAGCAUAUCAAUAAGCGGAGGA
rnacentral:misc_RNA from 1 species